rnacentral:rRNA from 1 species
UGGGGAAUAUUGGACAAUGGGCGCAAGCCUGAUCCAGCCAUGCCGCGUGGGUGAAGAAGGCCUUCGGGUUGUAAAGCCCUUUUGUCCGGAAAGAAAAGCUUUCGGUUAAUACCCGGAAGUCCUGACGGUACCGGAAGAAUAAGCCCCGGCUAACUCCGUGCCAGCAGCCGCGGUAAUACGGAGGGGGCUAGCGUUGUUCGGAAUUACUGGGCGUAAAGCGCACGUAGGCGGCUUUGUAAGUUAGAGGUGAAAGCCCGGGGCUCAACUCCGGAAUUGCCUUUAAGACUGCAUCGCUAGAAUUGUGGAGAGGUAAGUGGAAUUCCGAGUGUAGAGGUGAAAUUCGUAGAUAUUCGGAAGAACACCAGUGGCGAAGGCGACUUACUGGACACAUAUUGACGCUGAGGUGCGAAAGCGUGGGGAGCAAA